UUUUUUUUUUUUUUGUCUUUUCUAGGGCCAUACCUGUGGCAUUUGAAGGUUUCCAGGUUAGGGGUCUAAUCGAAGCUGUAGCCACCAGCCUACACCAGAGCCACAGCAAUGUGGGAUCCGAGCCGCAUCUGCAACCUACACCACAGCUCACGGCAACACCAGAUCCUUAACCCACUCAACGAGGCUAGGGAUUGAACCCACAACCUCAUGGUUCCUAGUCGGAUUCCUUAACCACUGCGCCACGACAGGAACUCCCCGUGUUAGGUUUUCAAUAAGGAUGAGGUAGAUGAAUGCAUGAAUGAAUGAAUGAAUAGGUACUUAAGUCUGAGGAGUUACUCAAGUUGCUUUAUAUUAUAUAUAAGUAAACUUAUUUAAAACAUUGAAAUUAAAAAAUUUAAACCCUAUGCAUUAAACCUCUUAAUUUAAAAGGUCACAAUGAGAGAAUUUUACAUAAAAAGAGAAGACUGAUAUUUCUUACUUGGACUCUGAAUUACUCCCUAGAAAGCAAAUAAGAAAUGUGCUUCAUAUAUCUUUCUUGAUUCACUUCUUUACAAUGAUUUUCAUGAAAAGAAGCAUGUUUAACAUGUGCAUCUAAAAAUUAAAAGUAGCUCAAGGUGCAGCUCUGAAGCUCUUGUCCACAAAAUACAAUACAAGGAAAAAGAAGAGGUCCCCAACUUAUCCUGGAAGUGAAAUGUACACUCAGUGAAAUAAAGUGGGCAUUGACUCUCCAUUAGGAUUGUAAAAGAAUUCAUCAGGAUCUCUAUAUGGCAUUCAAACAUACAAUUACCAAUACUCUCUGUAAAUAUCUCAUAUCAUUUUCACUGAACAUAAGAUAGAACAAAUAACAUUUUGAUUUUUCUUAAGCUUUUAGAAAGUGAAAUGGCAAAGAGCAUACUGAGAAUUUUUUAUUAGAUGAUAAUAAAACUGCUUAAUUAGUCAGUCUCUAGAGUCAGAACCAUUCUCCUGAAGUCUUCCUGUGAUUUUUCCAUAGGAAGUCACAAGGAUUUUCAUAAAAUCCUCUAGGAUUUUAUUAAGGACAUAGCCACAGGUACUAAACUCAAUGUUUUGCUUAGGGCUCUUUGAUUAUUCAAAACCAAACAUUUUUACACAUAAAUUUGUCUCUUGUUAUUUUAUAACCAUGUAAACACCUAGUGGUCUGCUCCCUGGUUAAGUUAGUUUUCAUGGUGGUACUUCAACAAGUGGAUUAUAAAUUAGUAGAGAUUAUUUGACUAGCAUAUACAGCAUAUGAUUUAUCUAUAUUUAAGCAUAUAUAAAUCAAAUUUGCAAGUUAUAGAUAAGAUUACUCCUAAAAAAUGUAUUUUUAUAAAAUAUUUAUCCAAUCAAUUUCAUAGAAAUAAUAUACUUGGGAAAGGGGUUAGAAUUUAAAUACAACUUUUUCCUAAUUUAUUAUUCAGAAAUAGCACAUAUAUGGCUUAGGAAAAAUACCUAACUUGCUAUUUUCCUAUUUCAGCUGUUCCCUUUUCUUGAAUCCACAGUGUUCAAAAUCAUUAAGAAAGAUCCUUUUUAGACAAAUGCUUCAUACAAGAGCUGACUUCAUGGAAUGUAUAUCAUCAGUUAUAAAACACAUUGUACUCCUAUACUAUUCACCUUAAAGAAUUUUUCAUAUAACUUGAGAUUAUUUACAUGGAAGAGAAUUUACGACAUGAGGAAAUAAGAAUUUAACUUAAGAGUUUAACAUGAGUUUAGCUAGAGGUUAAAGAAAACCAUAUUUGACAUGGUUCAUUUUAUUUUUCAAAUAAAACAUGAAUUUUCAAGAAAUGCAAGUUUUUCAACAGACUGCUUCAUAACUUCUUGUCCAGACAUUAGCAUGCAUACCACUACUAUUCUGUCUCCAGAAAAAUGCUGUUCUUCUAGAUUUGCUUUUUUUUUCCUUUUUUUUUUUUUAAAUGGCUGCUCCUGUGGCAAAUGGAAGUUCCCAGGCUAAGGAGCAAAUUAGAGCUGCAGGUGCAGGCCUACACCACAACCACAGCCACACUGGAUUUGAGCCACAUCUGUGAUUUAUGCCACAGCUUGCAGCAAUGCCAGAUUCUUAACUCACUGAGCAAGGCCAAGAAUCAAACCUGUAUGCUCAUGGACACUAUGUUGUGAUUUAGGAAACCCCUCUAGUAAAUCACAAAACAAAAUGAUCACCAAUUCCUUCCAUCCCUAUAUACACACCCCUCUACAAUGUGGCCUCACAACUCCUUCUAGAAAGAGAUGGAAUGUGUAUCCUUAACUCUUGAUAUCAGGUCAUGGACAUGUGACAUACUUCAGCAAACAUGGCAGAGGCAGAGACUUUAUAAGUGCUUGUGCAAUGAAGCUUGCCCUGUCUUACUGCUACCAUGAGAUGAAGACUGGGCUAGCCUUCUUGAUUCUAGGGACACAUGACAUAGUUGCUUCCAUUAUUGCAGUCAGUAGCCAAACAUAUGAAGGAGGCCACCGAGUAUCAACUCACCCCUAGCUGACUGUGGAAUAGAGCAGGAACCUAUGGGGCCUUCCCCAAACAGAGCCCCCUCCCAUGUCACCCACCUGCCUCUUGUCUAUAGAAAAACUUUAGCCUCCUAGGCCUUUCCCAAGUUCCAAAGAGUAAAUUUAAUUAGCUAGAGAGAAAAUGCAGAAAGCAAAACCUCAAACAAAACAAACUAAUAAUAAUUUAGCCAUUAAACAAAGUCAAGGAUAUUUAGUCCUUCUUUGAAGGUUAUAGAUAAUAUUCUAAGCCAUGUCCUUAGAGCCGUUUUGCAGUUAAUGAAACCUUCAUCAGGUAGAAGAAGUUAACUAUAUGCUGCCCACAAACAUGGAGACCCGACACCAGUUGGGACCAGAAGGUUGAUGAUGCUGACUUCUAAUUACCCACGACUAACCAAUCAGAAUUUCCACAAGUUGAUCAUGCACUCCACCUAACCCCUCCCUCUCCCUGCCUUUAAAAACCUUCCCCUGAAAGCCACUGGAGAGUUCAGGCCUUUUGAGCACUAACUACCUGGACUUCUUGUUUGGUAACCUGCAAUAAACACCGGACUUUCACUCAUUACGAUUCAAGCGUCAAUAGACUGGCUUUACUGCAUGCAGAUGGACAAACUCAAGCUUGGUUUAGUAAGAGCCACAGUCGUGAAUGUGAGCCCAGGAGACACCUGGACAAGAACAGUCCACCUGGGCCCAGCCCAAAUUGCCAACCCAUCGAAUUGCAAGUUAACAAUGAUGGUUGUUUCAAGCUGUUAAUAUUGUGGGUAGCUUAUUAUUCAGCAAAAGCUAAUUGAUAUGCCCCUUCUUAAAAAAGAAAAUCAGAUAAAGUAUUUGCAGUCAAUUCUAGUGGUGCUAAAACUUGACCACACUCUUAAAUUAUUUAAAAAUUUUUUUAUUUCAGGACCUGAUAUAAGUGGUGAGCAUAUUUCUAUAGAACCAAUGCAUUCCAGACACUUUGUCCUACCUAAUCAAAUGCCACUGAGAGAUGCUACCCAUUCAGGAAGGAAAAAAAAAAAAAAACUUUCUAGAAGUAAACAUGAAACUAGAAAAUUAACUGUGACAGUUUUGAUUUUUACAAAGGAACUUCACUGCAUUAUUGAAAAAUCCAAGUUUACCAUGGUAACUGCUUCCUCACACACCACUUUUAUUCCCAACAAAGGCAUUUGUAGAGGAUGAAACAAACUACACUAGAACAUGAAGUUUCUCAUCAUAGUACCUCUGUAAGAUAUCUUGAAAAUCCUGUCUUUAGGCUGCUUUUAUACAACAUUUCUUUAUUACACUUACGAUAAUUAGAAUUGUUCCUACAUGAUUGAAGAUAAUGACAAAGUAUGUUGAAUAUGCUUUAAAAACUGACUAUAAAAUGUUACAUAUUAUUAUAACAACAAAAAAUAUUAUGUUGAGGAGAAUUGCAUUAUGUAGACAUAUUCACUGAUUUAUUUAACAUAAGAGUACCUACUCCCAGAGUUUCCAUUGUGGCUCAGUGGUAAUGAACCUGAACGUGAUUAGUAUCCAUGAGAAUGGGGGUUCAAUCCC
rnacentral:lncRNA from 1 species